rnacentral:rRNA from 1 species
CCUACGGGACGCAGCAGUGAGGAAUAUUGGUCAAUGGCCGGAAGGCUGAACCAGCCAAGCCGCGUGAAGGACGAAGGUACCAAGCAUCGUAAAUCUCUUUUGUCAGGGAACAAAAUCAGGCACGAGUCCCCGGACGAGGGUACUUGAAGAAAAAGCAUCGGCUAACUCCGUGCCAGCAGCCGCGGUAAUACGGAGGAUGCGAGCGUUAUCCGGAUUUAUUGGGUUUAAAGGGUGCGCAGGCGGCCUGUUAAGUCAGCGGUAAAAGCCCGGGGCUCAACCCCGGCGAGCCGUUGAAACUGGCUGUCUGGAGUUGGAGAGAAGUAUGCGGAAUGCGCGGUGUAGCGGUGAAAUGCUUAGAUAUGGCGCAGAACCCCGAUUGCGAAGGCAGCAUACCGGCGGCGAUCUGACGCUGAGGCACGAAAGCGUGGGUAUCGAACAGGAUUAGAUACCCCAGUAGUC